rnacentral:rRNA from 1 species
AUGAAUCCUGGACAUCUCGUCGCCGGCGGCCGGUCUGCCCGGGCGAACCUCUCUUCUGCUGCGCCGCGACGCUGCCCGAGAAAAUCCCCAGGUGGCUCCUCGAUCUACCAUUUGUUGCCCCAUCUAACCUCCAACAUCUGCUUACGGCAGAGAAGAAACAUAGUGUCCCUCGAGUCUUCAGGAAUGCAGAUGCUCCUAACGGAAGAGGUCCUAACUCAGAAGGACUCAUUGUUUCAUCUGGAACGGCCAUUUCCUGGAACAAAAAGCAGGACAUGGCUGGAUGAAUAUGUUAAACAAACAUACCUUCUGUUUUUCUUGCAUCUUCUGGAUUCUUUUGCACUCUCGUUAUCUUUGGUCUUCGCAAUGCCAACUUGUUUACCUCGAUUAUUAUGA